CCUACGGGGGGCAGCAGUGGGGAAUAUUGCACAAUGGGGGAAACCCUGAUGCAGCGACGCCGCGUGAGCGAUGAAGUAUUUCGGUAUGUAAAGCUCUAUCAGCAGGGAAGAAAAUGACGGUACCUGACUAAGAAGCCCCGGCUAACUACGUGCCAGCAGCCGCGGUAAUACGUAGGGGGCAAGCGUUAUCCGGAUUUACUGGGGGUAAAGGGAGCGUAGAGGGCGGUGGAAGUCAGAUGUGAAAGCCCGGGGCUCAACCCCGGGACUGCAUUUGGAACUGUGCUGCUAGAGUGUCGGAGAGGCAGGCGGAAUGCCUAGUGUAGCGGUGAAAUGCGUAGAUAUUAGGAGGAACACCAGUGGCGAAGGCGGCCUGCUGGACGAUGACUGACGUUGAGGCUCGAAGGUGCGGGUAUCAAACAGGAUUAGAUACCCGAGUAGUC
rnacentral:rRNA from 1 species